AGAGUUUGAUCAUGGCUCAGCCUGAACGCGGGCGGCGUGGCUAAGACAUGCAAGUCGUACGGUGUAGCAAUACACAGUGGCGAACGGGUGAGUAAUGAAUCGCUAAUGUGCCCCGGACUCUGGGAUAGCUGACCGAAAGGUCAGGUAAUACCAGAUGACAUAACCGAACCGCAUGGUUUGGUUCUCAAAGGUCCGCCGGUCUGGGAGCAGGCGAUUUUGUAUCAGCUAGUUGGUGAGGUAACGGCUCACCAAGGCGACGACGCAUAGCCGGACUGAGAGGUUGGCCGGCCACAUUGGGACUGAGACACUGCCCAGACUCCUACGGGGGGCUGCAGUAACGAAUCUUCCGCAAUGCACGAAAGUGUGACGGAGCGACGCCGCGUGUGGGACGAAGUCCUUCGGGAUGUAAACCACUGUCAGGGGUAAGAAAGUUCUGAUCUACCCCAGAGGAAGGCACGGCUAACUCUGUGCCAGCAGCCGCGGUAAGACAGAGGUGCCGAGCGUUAGGCGGAAUCACUGGGCUUAAAGCGUGUGUAGGCGGACUUCUAAGUACCUUGUGAAAUCCCACGGCUCAACCGUGGAACUGCUCGGUAUACUGGUUGUCUUGAGCCACUUAGGGGCAGUCGGAACAGACGGUGGAGCGGUGAAAUGCGUAGAUAUCGUCUGGAACGCCAAAGGUGAAAACAGACUGCUGGGAGUGUGCUGACGCUGAGACACGAAAGCCAGGGGAGCAAACGGGAUUAGAUACCCCGGUAGUCCUGGCUGUAAACGAUGUCGACUAGAUCGUGGUACCUCUGACGGUUUCACGGUCGAAGCAAAAGUGCUAAGUCGACCGCCUGGGAAGUACGGUCGCAAGGCUAAAACUCAAAUGAAUUGACGGGG
rnacentral:rRNA from 1 species